GCUAGCUACAGGCUUAACACAUGCAAGUCGAGGGGCAGCAUGGUCUUAGCUUGCUAAGGCCGAUGGCGACCGGCGCACGGGUGAGUAACACGUAUCCAACCUGCCGUCUACUCUUGGACAGCCUUCUGAAAGGAAGAUUAAUACAAGAUGGCAUCAUGAGUCCGCAUGUUCACAUGAUUAAAGGUAUUCCGGUAGACGAUGGGGAUGCGUUCCAUUAGAUAGUAGGCGGGGUAACGGCCCACCUAGUCUUCGAUGGAUAGGGGUUCUGAGAGGAAGGUCCCCCACAUUGGAACUGAGACACGGUCCAAACUCCUACGGGAGGCAGCAGUGAGGAAUAUUGGUCAAUGGGCGAGAGCCUGAACCAGCCAAGUAGCGUGAAGGAUGACUGCCCUAUGGGUUGUAAACUUCUUUUAUAAAGGAAUAAAGUCGGGUAUGGAUACCCGUUUGCAUGUACUUUAUGAAUAAGGAUCGGCUAACUCCGUGCCAGCAGCCGCGGUAAUACGGAGGAUCCGAGCGUUAUCCGGAUUUAUUGGGUUUAAAGGGAGCGUAGAUGGAUGUUUAAGUCAGUUGUGAAAGUUUGCGGCUCAACCGUAAAAUUGCAGUUGAUACUGGAUAUCUUGAGUGCAGUUGAGGCAGGCGGAAUUCGUGGUGUAGCGGUGAAAUGCUUAGAUAUCACGAAGAACUCCGAUUGCGAAGGCAGCCUGCUAAGCUGCAACUGACAUUGAGGCUCGAAAGUGUGGGUAUCAAACAGGAUUAAAUACCCUGGUAGUCCACACGGUAAACGAUGAAUACUCGCUGUUUGCGAUAUACUGCAAGCGGCCAAGCGAAAGCGUUAAGUAUUCCACCUGGGGAGUACGCCGGCAACGGUGAAACUCAAAGGAAUUGACGGGGGCCCGCACAAGCGGAGGAACAUGUGGUUUAAUUCGAUGAUACGCGAGGAACCUUACCCGGGCUUAAAUUGCAGAUGAAUUACGGUGAAAGCCGUAAGCCGCAAGGCAUCUGUGAAGGUGCUGCAUGGUUGUCGUCAGCUCGUGCCGUGAGGUGUCGGCUUAAGUGCCAUAACGAGCGCAACCCUUGUUGUCAGUUACUAACAGGUUCCGCUGAGGACUCUGACAAGACUGCCAUCGUAAGAUGUGAGGAAGGUGGGGAUGACGUCAAAUCAGCACGGCCCUUACGUCCGGGGCUACACACGUGUUACAAUGGGGGGUACAGAGGGCCGCUACCACGCGAGUGGAUGCCAAUCCCCAAAACCUCUCUCAGUUCGGACUGGAGUCUGCAACCCGACUCCACGAAGCUGGAUUCGCUAGUAAUCGCGCAUCAGCCACGGCGCGGUGAAUACGUUCCCGGGCCUUGUACACACCGCCCGUCAAGCCAUGGGAGCCGGGGGUACCUGAAGUGCGUAACCGCGAGGAGCGCCCUAGGGUAAAACUGGUGACUGGG
rnacentral:rRNA from 1 species